rnacentral:rRNA from 1 species
UGAUCUAGCUUUUUAAAAGGCGGCGUAAAGCUGUCGCUAUGGGGGAUGGGCCCCGCGGUGCAUUAGCUAGUUGGUAAGGUAAAGGGCUUACCAAGGGCGAUGAUGCAUAGCCCGAGUUGAGAGACUGAUCGGCCACAUUGGGGACUGAGACACGGCCCAAACUCCUACGGGAGGGCAGCAGUAGGGAAUCUUCCACAAUGGACGCAAGUCUGAUGGAGCAAACGCCGCGUGAGUGAAGAAGGUUUUCGGAUCGUAAAGCUCUGUUGUUGGUGAAGAAGGAUAGAGGUAGUAACUGGCCCUUUAUUUGACGGUAAUCAACCAGAAAGUCACGGGCUAACUACGUGCCAGCAGCCGCGGUAAAU